GCUCGACUCAUAAUAUAA
rnacentral:tRNA from 1 species